CUGAAAUGCUCCUUUGCCCAUGGCUACGUUCCCCUGUCCCCAGAGCCACCUCUCGUGGAUCCCGCAUCCCUAAUUCUCAGUAGUACCACUGCUUCCCCAAAUCCCACUUUGCUGCAGCAGGUCUGGGCAAUCCCCAGCAUGUGGUCACACCUUUGCUAGAUCCCUUUUCCAAACUCCAUACUCUUCUGUGCCUUCUUUGCAGAUGCCAUGGAUCUGCCCCGGCAAGACCUUCCCCCACUAUGCUUUUGAAUAACGUUGCUUUUGUAUGGCGAUGUUUGCCUUCAUCCCCACUUCUGCACAUCCCUCAUCUGCUGCUGUUGUAUUCCCAAGCUUGGAGGCUUGCGAGUCAGUGAGAAGAGAGAACAAGAGACACCUGCAGAGAAUGAUUCAUUCUGUGCCUGUUCGACACCGCUCUGGAUGGAACAAGUCUCCUUGCUGGGUGUUGUCUCUCCCCAUCAAUUCUCAGCAGAAGCUAGACAACCAGUUCUGACCAGAAGCCUGACUUACGGGUGCCACGUGAGAUGAAUUGUACCACAGAUGACUAAUUUUUCUCAUUCAUCAUACCUGCUUUUGGCCUAUAGAAGUUGGGGUAGUGGAGGGGAAUCGUGUGCCAUAUCUUCCUGCUUUCCAAUCCAAGAUGCCAAAGUCUACCGGAGCACACAGUUGACUAGUAUAAAAUGAUACAUGCAGACCAGAAGUGGAAUACAUAUUGAUCAGAAGUUGAGUACGUGCUGACAAACCACCUCAAAAAAAACACAGUAACUGCUCUGAUUUAACACAGCAGUUGGCUGGAUCCAUAUGGAGCUGAUGAACCUCUGAAUGAAUAGUGAAUGGAAAAACUGCUGGAAUCUGCCUUCAGCUUUGUUCCCAGGAUGACCAAUGUAAAAGGCCUAAGAGCAAUACUGCACAGAUGGUGUAAAGAGGUUUAUGAGCAAGCAAGAAGUAAAGUGGAAUCAACAGGGAUGUUGUGAAUGGCUUUUGUAGUCCUGCUGUCACUGGGGAAUCAUGCACGUCUGCCGGUCCUGAAGCAUUUCUUGGUUGUUUAUGAGGGCUGAAAUCACCUCCUUUCAAAUUUACCUUUUGGACUCUGCACCACUGUGGUAAAUAUUAGGUUAGCACCGGGCUGUAUAUCUGAGCUGAAAGACAACACCUCCAGCAAUACCGUGUCCUUGGCACUGUGUGGCUUCAGGGCUCCACCUGAAACCAGAUAUUGAUAUCCUCUUUCUUUGAGCAUGGUGGAGACACCUUCAAAAGUGGCUUAUCUUCUAGAAAAGGUCCAAGAACAAACAGCCACGAAGACUUUGGUGCCAGCAGGCAGUUGCAGACUAGUAAAAGCUUCAGAUCCGAACAUUACUAGAAGAGAAAUCGACCAGCUGUUAAUAAUUCC
rnacentral:lncRNA from 1 species